rnacentral:rRNA from 1 species
UACAGAGGUCCCAAGCGUUGUUCGGAUUCACUGGGCGUAAAGGGUGCGUAGGUGGUCGGGUAAGUCUGAUGUGAAAUCUCCGAGCUUAACUCGGAAAUGGCAUUGGAUACUAUCCGGCUUGAGGGUCGGAGGGGGGACUGGAAUUCUUGGUGUAGCAGUGAAAUGCGUAGAUAUCAAGAGGAACACCAGUGGCGAAGGCGAGUCCCUGGACGACUCCUGACACUGAGGCACGAAAGCGUGGGGAGCAAACAGG